CAGGUGACGAAGCUUAUGGAAAAAAAGACCAAAGGCCUCGAGGGUGACUUCUUCCCAGGGAUGUUCUUCUUGACCCCCCGGGGCAAACGGAGGUGUCAGCGUCAGGAGCCAUCCUAACUGAGGCCCUGGCUCCCUCUUUCCCUUCGGUCGCCGUGGGUGUGCCGGACGCCUCU